rnacentral:rRNA from 1 species
AACGAACGCUGGCGGCAUGCCUAACACAUGCAAGUCGAACGAGACCUUCGGGUCUAGUGGCGCACGGGUGCGUAACGCGUGGGAACCUGCCCUUAGGUUCGGAAUAACUCCCCGAAAGGGGUGCUAAUACCGGACAAUGUCUUCGGACCAAAGAUUUAUCGCCUUUGGAUGGGCCCGCGUUGGAUUAGCUAGUUGGUAGGGUAAAAGCCUACCAAGGCGACGAUCCAUAGCUGGUCUGAGAGGAUGAUCAGCCACACUGGGACUGAGACACGGCCCAGACUCCUACGGGAGGCAGCAGUGGGGAAUAUUGGACAAUGGGCGAAAGCCUGAUCCAGCAAUGCCGCGUGAGUGAUGAAGGCCUUAGGGUUGUAAAGCUCUUUUACCCGGGAUGAUAAUGACAGUACCGGGAGAAUAAGCUCCGGCCAACUCCGUG